rnacentral:lncRNA from 1 species
UCCAAUUGCAUGUUUGUGUUCUCCGAGUACACUCAAAAGUUGACUCUCCUGUUUGUCAGACAGGUCAGCCGCGAUGAUUACAGGUAGGAUAUCUUCGGAUCCUAGAAAAGCAUACUUAAGGGUUACCGGAAGUGGCUUUAACUCAAGUUUGGGAGGGGACUCGAUGGAGGGGCACUGUGGCGUACUAGAAAGGGUAGGAAGA